ACGGAAGGCAGCAGUGGGGAAUAUUGCACAAUGGGGGAAACCCUGAUGCAGCGACGCCGCGUGAGUGAAGAAGUAUUUCGGUAUGUAAAGCUCUAUCAGCAGGGAAGAAACAGGACGGUACCUGCAUAAGAAGCCCCGGCUAACUACGUGCCAGCAGCCGCGGUAAUACGUAGGGGGCAAGCGUUAUCCGGAUUUACUGGGUGUAAAGGGAGCGUAGACGGUUGUGCAAGUCUGAAGUGAAACUCCGCAGCUCAACUGCGGAACUGCUUUGGAAACUGUACGGCUUGAGUAUCGGAGGGGUAAGCGGAACUCCUAGUGUAGCGGUGAAAUGCGUAGAUAUUAGGAAGAACACCGGUGGCGAAGGCGGCUUACUGGACGAUAACUGACGUUGAGGCUCGAAGGCGUGGGGAGCAAACAGGAUUAGAUACCCUGGUA
rnacentral:rRNA from 2 species